UACGGGGGGAGCAAGCGUUGUUCGGAUUUACUGGGCGUAAAGGGCGCGUAGGCGGUCAGCACAAGUCAGUUGUGAAAUCUCCGGGCUUAACUCGGAAAGGUCAACUGAUACUGUGCGACUAGAGUGCGGAAGGGGGCAACUGGAAUUCUCGGUGUAGCGGUGAAAUGCGUAGAUAUCGAGAGGAACACCUGCGGCGAAGGCGGGUUGCUGGGCCGACACUGACGCUGAUGCGCGAAAGCCAGGGGAGCGAACAGG
rnacentral:rRNA from 1 species